ensembl:lncRNA
GCCCCCAGAGGUGAUUCUGCCUGCAUGACGUCCUCCGUUCCGGAGGCGAGCUCGCCGCAUGCGCCACAUCAGGAUCAAAAAUAGAAAGAAAAAAAAAGAAGAAAAGAAGAAGCGGAAGAAGCUGCGGAGGCGGCGGAGGCGGCAAGGAGGAGGGGCCUCGCGCAGCGAUGGAGGAGGCAGCGGGGACGUGGGGACGCGACUUUGUGUAGGCGGGUCGUGGGGCGCCCAUGGCGGAGUGUGGCCCGGGCGCCACAGGCACUUCCAGCUCCUGCGUGAACGGACUCCAUAGAAGAACAAUAUAAAGAUUUUGCUGUAUGAGAACAAAAAACUGAUGGUGGAGCAGACUGUUCUGCCAGCAUCCUGUGUGGAGGCAAAGAGGUUCUGUGAAGAGGCCGGAAUGAACAUCUGUGUCCCCAGAGCCAAGCAGUUGCAGGUAGGAUUAGACCUCAAGGUCAGGUUGCCCUCAUGUCUAACCAUAAACAUAGACAAACGAAUGUAACUGUCCAUUGACUUAUCCAUGUACUGACCUAUGUCUCAUCCAAGUGUUCAUUUAUGUGAUCGUUUACAAGGCUUUCUGUUGGGGUAGCCUUUUUGAAGAAACUGCAUAUUUGGAAGGCAAAUGCCCCUGCUAUUCUAGAAUCUGCAGUUUAUUACGGGAGAU